GUGUCAGCAUCCGCGGUAAUACGGAGGGUGCGAGCGUUUUUCGGGAUUACUGGGCGUAAAGCGCAUGCAGGUGGAGGAAAAAGUCAGAUGUGAAAGCCCGGGCCUCAACCUCGGAUUUGCAUUUGAAACUGGCAGGCUAGAGUACUGUAGAGGGGGGUAGAAUUUCAGGUGUAGCCCUGAAAUGCGUAGAGAUCUGAAGGAAUACCGGUGGCGAAGGCGGCCCCCUGGACAGAUACUGACACUCAGAUGCGAAAGCGUGGGGAGCAAACAGGAUUAGAAACCCCUGUAGUGC
rnacentral:rRNA from 1 species